rnacentral:lncRNA from 1 species
UUUACAGGUCCACAGCUGGAAGGAGCUUUCCUUGAUUCUCAAAUGAGACUUUGGACUUUGGACUUUUGAGUCGGUGCUGAAACAAGCCACGCUCUUCAUGCCUGUGUGUUUCCCGCACCCCUGGGAAGGCGAAGGGAAGGAGCUACAUUGUCAAGUGUGGUCCAGCAAGUAAGCAGGUCCUGAGCACCAAACAUAUCACAGGCACUCACUGCUUGGGCCCACCAGUCAACAGGAGCCUGCUAGAUACAGCCAUGUGCCACUCCAACCUCCCUGAGGGCAUGGCCUAUGCACUAUUUGAUUUUCAGCAUAUCAUCACGAACUCCACGGGCGUCAAGAAGCAAUGGGUGUGGAUGUAGAAGCAGCCCGGAUUGCAACUGUGGUGGUGUAUUCUUGAACUAUAUUGUUCUAUUGGUGGUUUCUAGCUUUCUUGCCUUUCUGACCAUGAUACGAGUAGCUCCCUUGAUGGGUUAGUUCUGAAGGUUCAGAGAGUCUCUCCUCAGGCCUACACAAGCUCACUACUGCUCACUUUAUGUGAUGUGGGCCUACACAAGCUCACUGCUGCUGUCUUUCUAACAUGUCUAUAUGUUCUUCAUUAACUCUAUUAGAUCACUUUCUGCUGAAAGAGAUCAGUGUGCUUUCUGUUUCCUGAACUCAACCUUGGGAAAAAUAAGCAUAAAAUAUGUAUACAACAAGUGAAGAACAUCAAAGCAGCCCUGAGAUGAAUUUUCUAGGUAGACCAUCAACUUCUUUGUCAUCAAAAGCCUCAAUUCAAGAGUGAUUCAAAUUAGUACUUUACUGAAAUUACUGAUCACUAUUUGUCACAUUACUUUAAGGCUGAUUAUGAAUAUUUGAAACUUCAUGUUAAGUGCCUCAAUACCAACAGACUACUGUACUUGUUUAAUUUAAAUUUGAAAGCUAUCAUAAUUUCAAUAAAGGAAACACAGUGUAAACAAUAAGGAGUAAGACAAGCAUAUUCAUAUAA